AAUUCUGUUUCCGGAGCCAAGCUUGGUAAAGCUUCACUAAUUCACGAGGAGAUAGCUUCACGCUCAUGUGGCUCAUGAAACAGUAUGCUGUGCCAAGAAUCUGAGUCGAACAAGGGUUGUGACCGUCAUGUGCAGUGCCUAGGGGAAAUGCAUGCACCAGUACGACAC
rnacentral:lncRNA from 1 species